rnacentral:rRNA from 1 species
GACAGAGGUGCCGAGCGUUAGGCGGAAUCACUGGGCUUAAAGCGUGUGUAGGCGGGUCCGUCAGUACCUUGUGAAAUCCCACGGCUCAACCGUGGAACUGCUUGGUAUACUGCGGGUCUUGAGCCACCUAGGGGCAAGCGGAACAAGCGGUGGAGCGGUGAAAUGCGUAGAUAUCGGAAGGAACGCCGGUGGCGAAAGCGACGUGCUGGACCCUUUCUGACGCUGAGGCGCGAAAGCCAGGGGAGCAAACGGG